CCCAAAAAUCCCCUCCCCCCUCCCCAAUUUGGGGCUCCUCCCCCCCAGUUUGGUACUGGGAAGGGACUGGGAGGACCCCCCCCACUCAAAAAAUUUGGGGGGGGGGCAGCCAGAAUGCCCAAAUUUUAAAAAAAUGGGAAUUUUAGGGGGUUUUUCCCCAAUUUUGGGAUUUUUUUCCCCAAUUUUGGGGUUUUUUUCCCCAAUUUAAGGGGAUUUUUUCCCCAAUUUUGGGGUUGUUUUACCCAAUUUUGGGGGGUUCCCCAAUUUUAGGGUUUUUUCCCCAAUUUUGGGGGGGUUUUCCCCAAUUUUGGGGUUUUUUCCCCAAUUUUAGGGGAUUUUUUCCCCACUUUUCGGGGGGUUUUCCCCAAUUUUGGGCGUUUUUUACCCCAAUUUUGGGUUUUUUCCCCAAUUUUGGGGGUCUUUUCCCCAAUUUUGGGGUUUUUUUUCCUCAAUUUUGGGGUUUUUUUCCUCAAUUUUGGAGUUUUUUUCCCCAAUUUUGGGGGUUUUUUUCCCCAAUUUUGGGGUUUUUCCUCAAUUUUGGGGUUUUUUUCCCCAAUUUUGGGGAUUUUUCCUCAAUUUUGGGGGUCACAACUUUCUCACCCCCCCAAAAAUGUGAAUUUUGGGGUUUUUUCCCCCCAAUUUUUGGGGGUGUCACCACUUCCCCUCCCCCCAAAAAUGGGAAUUUAGGAUUUUUUCCCCAAUUUUUGUGGGGGGGGGGUCACCACUCAC
rnacentral:lncRNA from 1 species